GUUACGGGCAGCCAGGCCUGGCCGGAGAUGCCGAAGUCGUGCGCGGCCUGGCAGUGCUGCAACCGCUACAGCAGCCGCAGGAAGCAGCUCACCUUCCACCGCAGGUGAGGGAGAACACACACACUGCCAGUGAGAGAGGAAAUGCCAGCUCUUCUCAGAAAGAAAAGGUCCUCCCUGAGGCGGGGGCCGGAGAGGACAGCCCUGGGAGAAACAUGGACACUGCGCUUGAAGAGCUUCAGUUGCCCCCAAAUGCCAAAGGCCCCGUAAAACAGAUCUCGCCACGGAGUCCGCAAGCAGCAGAGACUGUUGGCCGGCCGGCCGGCCCUGCAGGCUUGAGAAGGCCCCCCGACAAGCAGCCAUCUGAUCACAGCUAUGCCCUUUUGGACUUAGAUUCCCUGAAGAAAAAAACUCUUCCUCACUCUGAAGGAAAAUGAAACGCUCCAGAAGCGCUUGCAGGCCCAGAGGCUGGUGAAGCGAAGGAUGUCCAGCUGCCUCCGUGCCUGCAAAGGGCACCGGGGACUCCAGGCCAGACUUGGGCCAGAGCAGCAGAGCUGAGCCCCACAGGCUCCGGACGCAGAGGCGGCAGUGGCACCAGGGCCGGCAGGGCUUUGGAGCUCUGGCUGUGGACAUUUUUGUCUGCUGUGGACAUUGAGAAAGUUGGCCGUGAGGCCUGCCGGGCGGGGGAUUGAAACAGUAACCAAGCUCCCUGGCGAGAGCCCCGACGCCGUCUGAAGGACGUUUAGAGGCAUGGUACUAGGACUGAGCAUGACAAGCUUAUCCUCCCAUAGUAACAGAAGUCCAGGCUGAGGCUGAUUCUGAACUCUGUCCUUUCAGCACGCGCAGAGCGAAGGUCGUUGGAAGCCCCAGUAUGGGAGAUGCUCCUCAGGGAGGAAGCCAUGUGAGGGGGCCGGCUCUGUGGCAGACCUAUAUGAAGCUUUGGCAGUUCAAAGGGUCAGAGAGACCCCUCAAAGAAAGAUACUGGCCUUGUUGAACAGCUGGACUGACAGGCCCAAGUGAAUGAACACCCAUGCCCCUGGAAACUGUGCAUUAGAGGAGAAAACAGAGAAACUUCCUUUGGGCCUGACUGGGUAUUCAGUGACCAUCAGGUCAUUUCAUUUGAUUUGUUGGAAUCCUGACCAAACUGGAAAAGUGGCAGUAACCAUGGAAAAGUCAAAGACAAAAUGACAGCCAAAUCACACCAGUAAAUAAGUGGAGUGAAGACACGUCUGUUUUCACAGCUGAACACUGGAAAUUGCAAAUUUGAUUGCCACUGGCAUUGGAUGCUGGAACUGCUUCUGUUUUUACUGACACUAGCAUACCGGGAUACUUCGAAGUUGCUGUAGUCUCUGCAAUAUUGAGUGUUGGAAGGUGCUAGAAAAUGAGUGUCUGUCUUUUUUGUCUUUUAUACUGGAAGGCAAUCACCUAGACCUAUGCUGGAGAGUCAUCCUACAAGGUCAUUCAAAUGUACAAUAAACUGGUAUGUGUAUUAGUUACUUAUUACAGUACAAUAAGUUAAUCACAAAUAUGAAUGACUAAAACAAAAAAUGUUUAGUAUCUUGCAGUUUCUCUGGUCAGGAAUGUAUUGGCAGCUUAACUGAGUGGUUCUAGCUCAAGGUCUUUCAUGAAGGACCUGGUAGGGGCUGCAGGCAUCUGCUGUCUUGACAGGAGCUGGGGAAUUUGCUUACACGGUGACCCACUCACAUGGCCAUUGGAAGGAGGCACCAAUUUCCUGCCACAUGGGCCUCUUCGUAGGACUACAUUUGUGUUAUCAUGAUGUAGCAGCUGGCUUCUCCAGCGUGAGUAACGUAAGGGGGAGGAAGACAGGCAGAAGCCACGAUUUUUGUUAUAACUUAGCCUCAUAAACUACAUGUCAUCACUUCUGUCAUAUUUAUUGAUCACAUAAAGCAACAAUGAUAUAAAGAAGAAGAGUAGAGUUUAUUUCAUCACUUACAUUUCAAUUUUGGCUACUUAAUUUUAAUCAUAGAGUCUACAAUAGGGGUUUAUUUUAUUAAUCCAAGUAGUACCAAAUAUUACUCUGAGUUUGUUUAAUUAAUAUCCCUAUGAAUUCCUGGGGUUUCAGUCCACUUUGGGAAGAGGCUAGUUUGUUUUCAUAUCUUAAAAGUGAGUAAUAUCAGCAUUGUUGGUAAUUCUAUACCUUCAUAUUCCCAAAGUAGUAUCAAGCAAAUACAUGGUAAGAGUGAGCAUGAGAAGUUGAUGCUGUUCAGUUAUCUGGAUAGCAGGCUAAGCAUUAUUGAUAGAAAAAUCUGCAGCUAUACUCAGAAAACUCAGAACUUCAUGGCAACUUUUUUUUAAAUUAAAAUACAGUUCUUAAGGUUUCAAAGUUUUAUUUCUGUUUUUGUCAAAUAAAACUGUUCUUUCAGAGACCAAUAGUUAGAGGAAGAAACAAAUUAUAUGGACCUCUGGUACAAUUUCCCAAUCUGUGAGCUACCAGACCUGAGUGUUUUGGUAAGA
rnacentral:lncRNA from 1 species